CACCAUCAAGCAGCUCAUCAAACGUGGAGGAUACGAGGGGAGGUCUUCUUCUUUGCUCUGUUGUGCUCUGCUCUUCUUCUUGCUGCUCUGUUCUGCUCUGUUCUGCUCUGCUCUUCUUCUUGGCUCUGCUUUGCUCUUGCUGCUCUGCUGCCUGCUAUAUAUAGGCGAGUGAUCAAGCAGUGAGAUUAAGUAGCCGCAGCUUUCAGCUCGAUCGCGGGAACCACUCUGACAUCACUUGUAGCCGGUCAAUGGAUAUCGAUCAUCAGCUCAUCACUAGCUACGUACCAUCCCACCCAAGAUAAUGGAUAUCGCAUCUUGCCAAGGACGCUUCAACGAGCCAACGUGAUGAGAUGCAAACCCUGAUCCGGUCACGGUCGCUGCGAGUCGCCGGCGACCGGCGUGCAACAUGCACAUGGCGACGAACCGCGCGCGCUACGAGUCGCAGGAGCUAGUCAGGUCACGGCCGAUGUCGCCGGUAUCAUCGCCGCCUGCAACUAUUCAAUUCAGGUCGCUCGAUCUUGGCCGCACGAAGCUGAUCCAACGAGCAGGAGGGGCCAAGGGUGGGCCGGCGUUCCUCGUCGCCGUGCAGGUCACGGCGUCGCGCGGUAGCGUCCGGUUCCCGUUCUGCGU
rnacentral:lncRNA from 1 species